GGCGAGCCGCCGCCACCUUCCAACUGGAACCACCGCGCCGGAAUCAUAACCACCCAAAAAAAUCCCAAAAUUUACGUAGAAACCUUAUUUUUUGCGAUUUAAACACAAAUCAACAUUAAAGGUGCAAAAAACACAACAAAUAGUGUUAAAAAAAGGUAAUUAUCUUCCCUUUUUUUUUGUUUCUUUUUAGAUCUAUCCCUCUUCUAAUUCUUUUUCUUUUUUAGAUUUCAGGUUAAGGGUGUUGGUGGAGGCAGAGGGAAGGUGCACUGUUAAAUUAGUUUUUUUUUUUUGUAAUUUCUCUUCUCUGUGUGUGUAAAAAAAACCCUUUUUUUGCUCUGAUUGUGUCUCAAUUAAUAGACCAAGUGAAUGAAUUUGUUUAAUGUAAAAAACCUUCAGAUUUACAAUUUUUAUUGUUUUUAAUCUCAUCAAUUUGUGUUGAGAAGAAAAAAAAAUAGUAUGAGGAGAUGGUGAUGAAUGAAUGAAUCUGUGGUUGUUUUUCUCUGUUCUAUUCUUUAUCUAUGCUUUCAUGUAUUGUAACUCAAAAUAUAGUAUAAUUUUCAAUUUCUGCCUCCAAUAUUACAUAUAUGAUAUAUCCAAAUU
rnacentral:lncRNA from 1 species